AAUGAACGCUGGCGGCGCGCCUAAUACAUGCAAGUCGAGCGAGAAGACGUAGCAAUACGUUUGUAAAGCGGCGAACGGGUGAGGAAUACAUGGGUAACCUACCCUCGAGUGGGGAAUAACUAGCCGAAAGGUUAGCUAAUACCGCGUACGCUUCUUGGACUUCGGUUCAGGGAGGAAAGCGAUGCCGAGGGUAUCGCGCUCUUGGAUGGGCUCAUGUCCUAUCAGCUUGUUGGGAGGUAACGGCUCACCAAGGCUUCGACGGGUAGCUGGUCUGAGAGGACGAUCAGCCACACUGGCACUGCGACACGGGCCAGACUCCUACGGGAGGCAGCAGUAAGGAAUAUUGCGCAAUGGGC
rnacentral:rRNA from 1 species